GGUGUUUCUAAACUAUUUGUUCAUAUCGCCAUGUUCAAUAAUACAGGAUUUUCAUGCACAAGAAAACUUACCUUUAAUUAACUCAUGAGCAAUAUUUAUUUAUAUGCUAUAUUCGUAACAAACGUAAUGGUGACAUUAUAUAAAUUAACGGAAAUGCAAUAUCCACAAUUUGUAUAGUAAUUAUUACUUUCAAUGCAAAUUGGUAUACUGUUUUCCUGGCACUAUAGAAUCCUACUUUGCCCCCUUAAUCGUCCCCCCCCCCACCCCCUCCCGCAGCACUGAAGGAGUUAAAACCCCUUCAGUCACUUACCCGAAAUUAUUAUUUUGAAAUCUGGAGUUUCUCAGUAUCCCACUUGACAUAUGAAUUGACUUAUUCUUAUGUACUAAAUAUUUUUUAAAAAAAUCACACAUAUAAGGAGGUAUGUUGCUUUCUAGCUCUGUUAAGUGAAGUAUUUCAACAAAACCGAUUACUCAGCACUGUAUAAACGCAGAGCGAAGUGAUAUUUAUCAUCCGGCUUUCAGCUCAUUUUAUAUGUUACCAUCAAAGUAACCUCUUAUGAGGUAUGUAGAAAAUUAUGAUGGAUGCUUCCUGUAGUUUAAUUAUAGUAAUUGUGCAUUUAUCAGAAUGUAUAAUGUGUGCAGAAAAGCAUGUAACAUCAAGGACAAUGCAUUUCUAGACUUAAUGCUGAACAUUCAUUUUUGUAUAAUGUUCCUCUAGAAGAUAUUUA